rnacentral:rRNA from 1 species
UACGGAGGGUGCAAGCGUUAUCCGGAUUCACUGGGUUUAAAGGGUGCGUAGGUGGGCUUGUAAGUCAGUGGUGAAAUCUCCGGGCUCAACCCGGAAACUGCCAUUGAUACUAUCUGUCUUGAAUAUCGUGGAGGUAAGCGGAAUAUGUCAUGUAGCGGUGAAAUGCUUAGAUAUGACAUAGAACACCAAUUGCGAAGGCAGCUUACUACCCGAAUAUUGACACUGAGGCACGAAAGCGUGGGGAUCAAACAGG